rnacentral:rRNA from 1 species
GUGAGGAAUAUUGGGCAAUGGGCGAAAGCCUGACCCAGCCACGCCGCGUGAGUGAUGAAGGCCUUCGGGUUGUAAAGCUCUGUGGGGAGGGAAGAAAAAGCGGGAGAGUAACUGCUCUCGUGUUGACGGUACCUCCUUAGCAAGCACCGGCUAACUCUGUGCCAGCAGCCGCGGUAAUACAGAGGGUGCAAACGUUGCUCGGAAUUACUGGGCGUAAAGCGCGUGUAGGCUGACAUGCAAGUCGGGUGUGAAAUCCCAGGGCUCAACCUUGGAACUGCACUCGAAACUGCACGUCUUGAGUACUGGAGAGAGAAGCGGAAUUCCGGGUGUAGAGGUGAAAUUCGUAGAUAUCCGGAGGAACACCAGUGGCGAAGGCGGCUUCCUGGACAGUAACUGACGCUGAGACGCGAAAGCGUGGGGAGCAAACAGGAUUAGAAACCCGUGUAGUCC